rnacentral:lncRNA from 1 species
GUUCGGACUUAAAAUAUGAUAUGGUGUUUUCUUUGAAACGUUCACCAUUGUAAAAUUACCUGUGUAUCCAGCCCCUGCAGCAGGUGUUGAGGCUGACUGCUGGGGAGGAUGGGCCUCCAGUUGACCGAAGCCCUCUUCUCAGUCAGCUCCCUGUCCCUCAUGGCCUUCCUGGCUCUCUGUUCCUUCUUCUUCACCCUCCAGUACUCCCUCUUCUUCCUCAGAGUCUCCUCUUCCGACUCCCCCGGCACUGGCUUGGGCGGACCCAUGGAGCUUAUGUAGAUGGGGCUUCUGGUGAGCCCCUGCAUUGUAGGCAAUCCUACAUUUUGUAAAUUCCCACUUUGAGGAAUCUGAGCACCUUGACAUUUGAAAGGAGUCUGUGUUGGUGUGAAUGUGGACGUUUGACUGGGAGGAUGAAUUGGUAAGAGCUUGAUGCUCGUCAGAGGGUUGGGCGGAGGUGAGAGAGUAGCGAUGGGUGAGGCGUCGGCGUCUGAGAUUUCCUGCUCUUGCAGUCGCCAUUUUCUAACACGUGGCGAGUCAGGGCUGGACCCCGGGGCCGCUUCCUGUUGGCUCUCCACCAGUAGCAGCCCGCCUUUCUUCCCCUCACCCAAUGGAGGAACAGUGACACCGCCUCCUACAGGGAGAAACGCGGUACUGAAGCUAUGAGAUGUCUGGGAGGACCCUGUGUGGCCAAUGGAUGAAUUGGAAAUAGUGGUACAGUUGACCGGAGGUCUGAGCUGUAGUGUAUCAGACGGCUGUCCCAUGUUGGAGGUGGUGGGGCUCACAACCAGAAGUGUAGGGAUGUUGGUGACCAUGUUGAGGCUUGCCUGAGGUCCAGAGGCAGGGGGAGAUAUAGGCUGGAGAAGGGGGGAGGGCUGUGGUUUGAGCAAUGGUGCGCCUUGUAGACUGAAGCUCCCGCCUCUCUGCACUGGCCUCUGUGUCGGUGUCUUGACAAUAUGGAGAUUCGGAGACUAAAAGACAACAACACAAUCAAUGGACAGCUUUACAUUCGUUUUAUGUCACAAUAUAUCAUUUAGAACCAGGGUUAUUUUAUCUAUUGGUUUAUCUUUACAAACAUUUACUUGUUUAUGG